CAAUACUUGUCAUGUGUUUGACACCUCGGGGUAUAAAAUAGGCUCAUAAUCAACUAUGGGGAAGCCAAAUACCAUGAUGGAGGCAAAUAUCACUCCCACUUUACAGCUGGGGAAACUGAGGCACGCAAUGCGUCAGUGGCAGGAACACACACUCAGACUCCAGCUGUAACUAUAAGAUAACGCCACUUGGUUUUCUCUGGAUUACAUUUCUGUAGGGAAACCAAAGGCUUUAUUCUGCCCUUUCUCAGGAAUGGCAGCAGAAAUCUUACUACAUUUGCAUAAGACCGUACAAGAAGUGAGUGAUGCAAUCUUCCUCUUUCUAGUCAUUCCACGUAAGACGGAGCAGCCCCGUGCGAGGCAUACGCUAUACCUCUCAUGCAUGCAGAAUGACUCAUUUGGAACUAUUUUUGCUGGACUCACAUGAACCUACAUAUUUCCGACUUGGUGCAUUUUUAUCUCUUGCUUUAAAUAGCACAGAACAGAACAAAAUGCCCCCCCCCCACUACCCAAGCAGCCUGGUAAUUCAAGGACAAAACUGGAAGCCUUGGCUUCACAGUGCAGUCAUUGCCAGAGCCAGACGUGUCUCAUUUCAUCCGACCGUGCAGCAAGAUGGAGCUGUCACUCUGGCUUACGGAAAAUUUCCAUUCACUGACUAGGCUGUAGAAGGAGAAACUCAGCUUGUGAUGCCACCAUCAUUAGAGCCUACUGUGGACUAAAAGGCUUCCUGCCCCCCGCUAGCCCUACGCCCGCCGCAGCGUACAUCUGCCAGCACCGCUCUAUUGGCCAGCUCAGUGGGGAGCUAAAGCCACCCAUUCGCCACCCACUCCUGCCACCACAUGUGGGCGCUCGGGGGCACCUUAUACCCUCUUACGUACAAAGUGGGCCUUUAUUAAGGAGCUUGAUCCAACUACAUGCGCAGAAGGGUUCUGGCUACUGACUGACAACACAACCAGCGAAACGCAAGGCUGACACGUGACCUCAUCAGACCAAAACCGCACAGACUGAUUAUCUGUCCUGAGGGCAGGACGGUGCCACUUCUGAGAACUGUCGAUUGACCCUUU